rnacentral:lncRNA from 1 species
AGUACAGAGCAGAAAGAGGCACAGGCUCAGAGGUGUAGGGGACGCAGCACCAGGGGCUCCACAGAAAAGAGAAACCACUUCAAGCAUUUACAGCAAAGGGAACGGAUGCAGAGAAUUGGUUUCACAGGUGCUGAAAGACCUAAGAGGCCAAACAGAAGAAAAGAGAAGCCAGAAAUCAGCAACAGCCCUCUCGCGGGGUAUUGACAGGAGUGAAGGUGACUCUUGGGGACCAGCCAUUUAGAACCGUGUGGCCCCCUGGAGAGAGGGUGAAACCAUCCCCUCUAUAAUCUGCAAGGCCACUGCGGGACCAGGGACGCCGGGUGGAGUCACCAGGGGAGGGGGCCUGAUGGCUCUGUCCCCUUCAGACCUGUUCUUCUGAAGCCUUCCGUCAUCCUCUGCUGUGCGCAAGUGCUGGCACACCUUCCCUCCCGCCCAAAGACGCGGACUCGCCCGGGGCCCUCCAUCAGUCACCUCUCCUAAAGGUCACAUUCUCCCAUGGGUUUCUGCAAAGUCAUUGACCGCUCCUACUAAGUGCUAACCUCAAAUCUGCCUGGUGCUCAUACAGAUCCCGCUUUGGUGCCCACAACUCACUGUUCUACAGGAUGAACGUUCUACUGAAAUGAAAGAACGAGUAGUUUCUUUUUAGGAGUGGCAUGCUUCACUCCAAUCAAACGGGAAAGAUGUGUAAGAGCAUCUAUGGUUUCAAAUCCAUGAAGCCAAGUAAACCCCAAAUCAACUCUAGCCCUGCCUUGGGCACAGUGGGCAUAUUCAGUCUCUUCUCCACCUUAGGAUUUUCACCUGAAAAAAAAAAAAAAAUGAAAUAAUCACACUUACUAAUCUCAGAGUGCCAAUUGGUGGAUUUAACAGCGCCCUGAAAACGAGACUCUUCUGUUUAAUGAAGCAUCUCAUUCAAAGGUUCAUUCAGCUAAUAAAACCCCCGUUUUUCACUUGUGUUUGAAGCCAGGCCAUUAUUCUUUUGCGUGUGGUUUGAACCAGUUUUCCGUGAGCUGUGGUGGCUCCUGAGGAUGGAUAUGAAUGGCACUUAUUAGGAAGGGAAGAGCUCAUGAAUUCAGAUCAUCCUUAAUGCUGAAAUGAGCUGUAAUGAAGGCCUGAGAUCAAAGUGCUUGAGGAGCAACGGCAGAUGAAUGGGCCCCAGAGCCUGGUCCUGGGUCGCUGCAGAAAAGGAUUAGGAAACUUCACUUAAGUAGCCAGAAAGGUUUCCACAGACUAGCCUGCUUUGCAUUUAAUUGUUUAUGGGAUUCGUGGACGAAAGAUAUACAAAUAGCCUCCCUCAGAGAAAACGGUGUUAUCAGAUAUUUUCCACGAGGGAGAGGAAAGGCUUUAAAUUAGCAGCAAGAAGAACAGAAGCAAGGCCAUUCUUAACUCACAGGGUGGGGGGUAGGGGGGUGGAGGCCAAGGGAAGAGCCCAGACCCAGAAAGAGGGGGAGAAAGGGAAAGGAGGCGAGAGAAGGAGCACCCACCUAGCCUUCAGAAUAAGCACAGAGCCUCCUUCCAGGGAGAAGCAUAUGCCUCUUUUCCUAAAUACUGAACAUGAAGCAACACAGAGCGCCUGAAUUGCAGCCAGGCUCCCUCCCUGCCCCUCAUCGGAGCAGCAAGAUCCAGGGGGAAUGGAAAGCAGAUGCAGUGGCCUAAGUGCUCCAACGUUUCACUCUCCUCCUUGAAAAGAUGUCAAGGAGUAUUUGCGUUACCUCCCUGGAAAACGCAGAGACAUUCCCUUACAGGAUGAGUGAAAGAUGAGUACAAAGAGUUAAUUUGAAAUCAAUCAAGCCCUGUGUGUUCGUCUACUGCUUCAGAAAUCCUUCUAUUUUAAUGAUGAAUUUAUUUUCAAAGCAGUGCAGAUCCUUUUGAGGGGAAUUCCACCUCUCACAGCUGCGCAACGUGCCCUGCAGUGUUGAGCUUUCUCGCCCACCUGCUCUUUGUAAAACAGCGUGGACUUCCCGGAGCUGAGACAGUGCCAAGCUGGCUGAGGCUGCCGAAGAGCCAUCCUCAGCCUGCAGCCACCGAAGUGUCAGUGAGUACACCGCAAACCCCUGCAAAACAGGCAGAGCAACUUGGUGGAGCCACGCAACCACAUGGCAAAGCCACAGACUCCCUCUCACCUUGCAAAGGACCCUCUUGAAUUUUUUAUGGUUGAUCUGUUAACCUAACUUGGCUUCCCCUGCUGCCCUGUUCAAAAGCAAUUGCAUUGAAAAUAUUAUUGGCAAAAAUUUUUUCAAAACAUCACACCUGAAAAACGCUAAACGAAAUUCCCAUUUCAUAUUCCAAGUACAACUCCCGAAGAGACUAGAGGAUUCUAUCUACUUUAACCGGGAUAGAGCUGACAUGUUUGUUUUGAAACAGCAUCUGGCCAUGACUUUAAAAGCUCCACUUAAUAGCUUUUGGUUCCUUUUUUUCCCCGUCUCUUUUCGAAUACAUCUGAUUGCAAUAUUCUGAAAUUUAAAUGUGAUUGCUACGCAUUUGGUUAUCAACAAAGAAUUUCUAGAUUAAUGCAGAAGCACAUUUAAGAGGCAGAAUGCUGUCUCUUUGUGCCUUUGAGGGCAUCCAUGGUUUUAACUAGGAGGAUUAUGAGAUCUGACCCUUAGCAGUGAAAUACGCUUUGUUCCCCUCUGUAAAAAGAUUUGUCCUUCUAGCUCAUUAAGUCAUCUGAGAUCCACUGUUACUUAUCCACUCCCAAUGUUAUAGCAAACAUAACAUAAACAUUGUACCAAAGUA